rnacentral:tRNA from 3 species
GCGGAAGUGUCGGAAUUGGCAGACGAGCAAGACUAAGGAUCUUGUGACUGUUUAUGUCGUGUGGGUUCAAGUCCCAUCUUCCGCACUA